AGUGAACGCUGGCGGUAGGCCUAACACAUGCAAGUCGAACGGCAGCACAGUAAGAGCUUGCUCUUACGGGUGGCGAGUGGCGGACGGGUGAGGAAUACAUCGGAAUCUACUUUUUCGUGGGGGAUAACGUAGGGAAACUUACGCUAAUACCGCAUACGACCUACGGGUGAAAGCAGGGGAUCUUCGGACCUUGCGCGAUUGAAUGAGCCGAUGUCGGAUUAGCUAGUUGGCGGGGUAAAGGCCCACCAAGGCGACGAUCCGUAGCUGGUCUGAGAGGAUGAACAGGCACAACUGGAAAGGGGAAACGGCCCGGCCCCCCAGGGGGGGCAGCGGGGGGAAAUUUUGGAAAAGGGGCGCAAGCCUGACCCAGCAAACCCGGGGGGGUGAAGAAGGCCUGGGGUUUGAAAAGCCUUUUUUUGGGGAAAAAAAAGCAGCGGGUUAAUCCCCCGCUUUUCGGCGGGGACCAAAAAAAAAAGCACCGGCGAACUUCGG
rnacentral:rRNA from 1 species